AGACGCCACCUGAUACUGGUGUGACUAGAGUCCGGUAGGGGAGUGUGGAACUCCUGGUGUAGCGGUGAAAUGCGCAGAUAUCAGGAAGAACACCAGCGGCGAAGGCGGCACUCUGGGCCGGUACUGACGCUGAGGAGCGAAAGCGUGGGUAGCAAACAGGAUUAGAUACCCUGGUAGUCCACGCCGUAAACGUUGGGCACUAGGUGUGGGUCUCAACCAACGAGAUCCGUGCCGCAGCUAACGCAUUAAGUGCCCCGCCUGGGGAGUACGGCCGCAAGGCUAAAACUCAAAGGAAUUGACGGGGCCCGCACAAGCGGCGGAGCAUGCGGAUUAAUUCGAUGCAACGCGAAGAACCAGUCGUGGAGG
rnacentral:rRNA from 1 species